rnacentral:rRNA from 1 species
AUUGAACGCUGGCGGCAGGCCUAACACAUGCAAGUCGAGCGGAGCGGCGGACGGGUGAGUAAUGCCGAGGAAUCAGCCUGGUAGUGGGGGAUAACGUCCGGAAACGGGCGAUAAUACCGCAUACUAUCAGAUGAGCCUAGGUCGGAUUAGGUAGUUGGGGGGGUAAAGGCAUACCCAGGCGACGAUCCGUAACUGGUCUGAUAGGAUGAUCAGUCACGCUGGAACUUAGACACGGUCCAUACUCCGACGGGAGGCAGCAGUGGGGAAUAUUGGACAAUGGGCGAAAGCCUGAUCCAGCCAUGCCGCGUGUGUGAAGAAGGUCUUCGUAUUGUAAAGCUCUUUAAGUUGUGAGGCGUUACCAACAGAAUAAGCACCGGCUAACUACGUGCCAGCAGCCGCGGUAAUUC